rnacentral:rRNA from 1 species
UUUUAUGGAGAGUUUGAUCCUGGCUCAGGAUGAACGCUGGCGGCGUGCCUAAUACAUGCAAGUCGAGCGAACAGACGAGGAGCUUGCUCCUCUGACGUUAGCGGCGGACGGGUGAGUAACACGUGGAUAACCUACCUAUAAGACUGGGAUAACUUCGGGAAACCGGAGCUAAUACCGGAUAAUAUAUUGAACCGCAUGGUUCAAUAGUGAAAGACGGUUUUGCUGUCACUUAUAGAUGGAUCCGCGCCGCAUUAGCUAGUUGGUAAGGUAACGGCUUACCAAGGCAACGAUGCGUAGCCGACCUGAGAGGGUGAUCGGCCACACUGGAACUGAGACACGGUCCAGACUCCUACGGGAGGCAGCAGU